rnacentral:rRNA from 1 species
GAAUAUUGCCCAAUGGGGGAAACCCUGAGGCAGCAACGCCGCGUGGAUGAAGAAGGCCUUCGGGUUGUAAAAUCCUUUUAACAGGGAAGAUAGUGACGGUACCUGAAGAAUAAGUCCCGGCUAACUACGUGCCAGCAGCCGCGGUAAAACGUAGGGGACAAGCGUUAUCCGGAUUUAUUGGGCGUAAAGCGCACGUAGGCGGCGAGGUAAGUUGAACGUGAAAGCUCCCGGCUUAACUGGGAGAGUGCGUGCAAAACUGCCUGGCUUGAGGCUGGAAGAGGAGCGUGGAAUUCCCGGUGUAGUGGUGGAAUGCGUAGAUAUCGGGAGGAACACCAGUGGCGAAAGCGACGCUCUGGUCCAGAACUGACGUUGAGGUGCGAAAGCGUGGGGAGCGAACGGG